CCCCUAGACGUUCUGGGCUGCACGCGCGCUACAAUAAUACGCACAGCGAGUAUCACCGAGCUCGAAAGGGCAAGGUAAACAAUAGAAAAGGUACUGUAAUGGUUAUAGAUCCUUGUAAUUAUUGAUCUUCAACGAGGAAUUCCUAGUAAGUAUGUGCCAUCAUCACGCACUGAUUACGUCCCUGCCCUUUGUACACACCGCCCGUCGCUCCUACCGAUUGAGUGAGCCGAUGAAACUGCCGGAUGUGGACUAUUCAUAGUCUGCAGAAGAUAUUUGAAUCGUAGCGCUUAGAGGAAGGAGAAGUCGUAACA
rnacentral:rRNA from 1 species